AAAUUUUUGCUUUGAAAACUAACAAGCAAUCUUCAAAAUGGAUUUUCCUUCAUUUUUGACAUCUUUAGCAACUUCAUUUAUUUUAUUUGUGAUUUUGAUGUUUCUAUUCACAUGGCUUUCAAGAAAAUCAGGGAAUGCUGAGGUGUAUUAUCCAAACCGGAUCUUAAAAGGUAUGAAUCCGGUUGAAGGUGGGUACAUGACCCGGAACCCUUUUGCUUGGAUGAGGGAAGCUAUUUCAUCAUCUGAAACUGAUAUAAUCAACAUGUCUGGAGUUGAUACUGCUGUCUACUUUGUUUUCCUUGCCACUGCCUUGGGCAUAUUUGUAUUCUCGGGCAUUGUUCUACUGCCUGUACUUCUACCAGUUGCCGCAACUGAUCAUACUAUAAGGACAGUCAACACCACCAGCAAGGGGACUUUCAAUGAACUUGAUAAGUUAUCUAUGGGGCAAGUUGGUAAUUCAGGUGCGAGGUUGUGGGCAUUUAUAGUUGCCACAUAUUGGGUUUCCAUUGUUUCUUACUUAUUUCUGUGGAGAGCAUACAAGCAUGUUGCAGAAUUGAGAGCUAAAGCUCUUAUGUCUCCAGAAGUUAGAGCCGAUCAAUUUGCUAUUCUUGUCAGGGAUAUUCCUUCUGUUUCUGAGAGUCAAAGUAGAAAAGAGCAGAUAGAUUCAUACUUUAGUGCAAUCUACCCUGAAACUUUUUAUCGAUCAAUGGUGGUGACAGACAAUAAGAAGGUCAACAAAAUUUAUGAAGAGUUG
rnacentral:misc_RNA from 1 species